UAGGGAAUCUUCCACAAUGGACGCAAGUCUGAUGGAGCAACGCCGCGUGAGUGAAGAAGGUUUUCGGAUCGUAAAGCUCUGUUGUUGGUGAAGAAGGAUAGAGGCAGUAACUGGUCUUUAUUUGACGGUAAUCAACCAGAAAGUCACGGCUAACUACGUGCCAGCAGCCGCGGUAAUACGUAGGUGGCAAGCGUUGUCCGGAUUUAUUGGGCGUAAAGCGAGCGCAGGCGGAAUGAUAAGUCUGAUGUGAAAGCCCACGGCUCAACCGUGGAACUGCAUCGAAAACUGUCAUUCUUGAGUGCAGAAGAGGAGAGUGGAACUCCAUGUGUAGCGGUGGAAUGCGUAGAUAUAUGGAAGAACACCAGUGGCGAAGGCGGCUCUCUGGUCUGCAACUGACGCUGAGGCUCGAAAGCAUGGGUAGCGAACAGGAUUAGAUACCCUGGUAGUCCAUGCCGUAAACGAUGAGCGCUAGGUGUUGGGGACUUUCCGGUUCUCAGUGCCGCAGCAAACGCAUUAAGCGCUCCGCCUGGGGAGUACGACCGCAAGGUUGAAAC
rnacentral:rRNA from 1 species